GAGAAUGCCGGUGUGAGUAGCGAAAGACGGGUGAGAAUCCCGUCCACCGAUUGACUAAGGUUUCCAGAGGAAGGCUCGUCCGCUCUGGGUUAGUCGGGUCCUAAGCUGAGGCCGACAGGCGUAGGCGAUGGAUAACAGGUUGAUAUUCCUGUACCACCUAUAAUCGUUUUAAUCGAUGGGGGGACGCAGUAGGAUAGGCGAAGCGUGCGAUUGGAUUGCACGUCUAAGCAGUAAGGCUGAGUAUUAGGCAAAUCCGGUACUCGUUAAGGCUGAGCUGUGAUGGGGAGAAGACAUUGUGUCUUCGAGUCGUUGAUUUCACACUGCCGAGAAAAGCCUCUAGAUAGAAAAUAGGUGCCCGUACCGCAAACCGACACAGGUAGUCAAGA
rnacentral:rRNA from 1 species